rnacentral:rRNA from 1 species
AGAGUUUGAUUAUGGCUCAGAACGAACGCUGGCGGCAGGCUUAACACAUGCAAGUCGAACGAAGCUUCGGGCUUAGUGGCGGACGGGUGAGUAACGCGUGGGAACGUGCCCUUUGCUACGGAACAGUCCCGGGAAACUGGGUUUAAUACCGUAUAACCUCUCAGGAGGAAAGAUUUAUCGGCAAAGGAUCGGCCCGCGUUGGAUUAGGUAGUUGGUGGGGUAAAGGCCUACCAAGCCGACGAUCCAUAGCUGGUUUGAGAGGAUGAUCAGCCACACUGGGACUGAGACACGGCCCAGACUCUACGGGAGGCAGCAGUGGGGAAUCUUAGACAAUGGGGGCAACCCUGAUCDWGCCAUGCCGCGUGAUCGAUGAAGGCCUUAGGGUUGUAAAGAUCUUUCGCUGGGGAAGAUAAUGACGGUACCCAGUAAAGAA